rnacentral:lncRNA from 1 species
UUGAUGAAGGGAAGUGGAGCUCCGCCCAGUGUCUUGCAGGCCCUCUCCUCAGUGCCUUCUCUUCAAUCUGUAAUGCGGACACUAGUAAGCCUCAUUCUGGCUCAGCAGUUAAAAGCACCGGCUGCUCUUCCAGAGGUCUUGAGUUCAACUCUCAGCAAACGUGUGGCAGCUCACCACCAAAUACAAUGAGAUCUGAUGCCUUCCUCUGGCCUGUGGGCACAUAUGCAGAUAGAACGCUACAUAAAACAAACAAAUGAAUCUAAACAUUUAAAAAGAAUUAAACCUAACCCUGCUCCCCA